rnacentral:rRNA from 1 species
UUCCCAGUCACGAUAAUGUAGGCAGAUUAGAAGAUGUUCCAGAAGAUGUAUUAACUAAAUUAGGAAUGAAACGACGUGAUAUGGGAAUAGAUAUAAUAGGAGAAAAAGGGAGUAAAUAUUAUGCGAUACAAUGUAAAUAUAAAAAAUAUUCGGAAAAGAAGACAGUAUUAACAUGGAAAGAGUUAUCAACAUUUUAUGCUUUAUGUUUAAAAACUGGUCCAUGGGAAAAGUAUAUAGUAAUGACAAAUUGUGAUUAUACAAGACAGGCAGUAAGAACAGAAAAAGAUUUAAUAAUAUGUAAAAAACAAUUUCAAAAUAUAACAAAAGAGCAAUGGUUAAAAAUGUGUAAUUUAGAAGGAAAAAAUUUAAAUGAACCAAAAAUUGAAAUACCAAAGGAAGAUGCUUUUGAGCUUAUGGCAAGAAAUGUGGUAACACUUUGUAGGAUGGAAGGCGAUAAGAAGUUGAAUCAAAUUGAUUCGAAGGUGUUGAGGGAAGAGGUGAAUAAGAGACGCCGAGUGGCAAGACCUUCGGUUUAUCAGGCCGACACCCCUAAUUUGGAUCCGGUUUCUGGUUUGGCAAGUGCUAUUCAGAUUAUUUCUGAUCAGAAGCGAGAAUGUUGACAUGAGUAGCGACAAACAGGGUGAGAGACCCUGUCGCCGAAAGUCCAAGGGUUCCUGCUUAAAGCUAAUCUGAGCAGGGUAAGCCGGCCCCUAAGGCGAGGCCGAAAGGCGUAGUCGAUGGGAACCAGGUUAAUAUUCCUGGGCCAGGAGGAUGUGACGGAUCUCGGGUGUAGUUCAGGCUUAUCGGAUUGUCUGGGCUGCUGAGAGGUUCCUGGAAAUAGCCCUCCAUCAGACCGUACCCUAAACCGACACAGGUGGACUGGUAGAGUAUACCAAGGCGCUUGAGAGAACCACGUUAAAGGAACUCGGCAAAAUGCCUCCGUAAGUUCGCGAGAAGGAGGCCCCGUCUGUAGGCAACUAUGGGCGGGGGGCACAAACUAGGGGGUGGCGACUGUUUACUUAAAACACAGGGCUCUGCGAAGCCGUAAGGCGACGUAUAGGGUCUGACGCCUGCCCGGUGCUGGAAGGUUAAAAGGAGGGGUGCAAGCUCCGAAUUGAAGCCCCAGUAAACGGCGGCCGUAACUAUAACGGUCCUAAGGUAGCGAAAUUCCUUGUCGGGUAAGUUCCGACCUGCACGAAUGGCGUAACGAUCUCCCCGCUGUCUCUAACGUGGACUCAGCGAAAUUGAACUGUGUGUCAAGAUGCACACUACCCGCGGUUAGACGGAAAGACCCCAUGAACCUUUACUCCAGCUUUGCACUGGCAUCAGGAUUGUGAUGUGCAGGAUAGGUGGUAGGCUUCGAAGCAGGGACGCCAGUCUCUGUGGAGCCUCCCUUGAGAUACCACCCUUCGCACUCUUGAUGUCUAACCGCGGCCCGUCAUCCGGGUCCGGGACCAUGCAUGGUGGGGAGUUUGACUGGGGCGGUCGCCUCCCAAACAGUAACGGAGGCGCGCGAAGGUUGGCUCAGAGCGGUCGGAAAUCGCUCGUUGAGUGCAAUGGCAGAAGCCAGCCUGACUGCAAGACUGACAAGUCGAGCAGAGACGAAAGUCGGCCAUAGUGAUCCGGUGGUCCCAAGUGGGAGGGCCAUCGCUCAACGGAUAAAAGGUACUCUGGGGAUAACAGGCUGAUGAUGCCCAAGAGUCCAUAUCGACGGCAUCGUUUGGCACCUCGAUGUCGGCUCAUCUCAUCCUGGGGCUGGAGCAGGUCCCAAGGGUAUGGCUGUUCGCCAUUUAAAGAGGUACGUGAGCUGGGUUUAGAACGUCGUGAGACAGUUCGGUCCCUAUCUGCCGUGGGUGUAGGAGACUUGAGAAGAGUUGCCCCUAGUACGAGAGGACCGGGGUGAACGUUCCACUGGUGGACCAGUUGUCGUGCCAACGGCAGUGCUGGGUAGCUAUGAACGGACAGGAUAACCGCUGAAGGCAUCUAAGCGGGAAGCCCCCUUCAAAACAAGGUCUCCCUUGAGGGCCGUGGAAGACCACCACGUCGAUAGGCCGGAGGUGUAAGUGCAGCAAUGCAUUCAGCUGACCGGUACUAAUUGCCCGAUAGGCUUGAUUUG